GCCUGGGUGGCUCAGCGGUUGAGCAUCUGCCUUUGGCCCAGGGCCUGAUCCUGGGGGUGCAGGAUCAAGUCCUGCAUCAGGCU
rnacentral:tRNA from 1 species